rnacentral:rRNA from 1 species
UGGGGAAUAUUGCGCAAUGGGGGGAACCCUGACGCAGCCAUGCCGCGUGAAUGAAGAAGGCCUUCGGGUUGUAAAGUUCUUUCGGUAUUGAGGAAGGUUGAUGUGUUAAUAGUACAUCAAAUUGACGUUAAAUACAGAAGAAGCACCGGCUAACUCCGUGCCAGCAGCCGCGGUAAUACGGAGGGUGCGAGCGUUAAUCGGAAUAACUGGGCGUAAAGGGCACGCAGGCGGUUAUUUAAGUGAGGUGUGAAAGCCCCGGGCUUAACCUGGGAAUUGCAUUUCAGACUGGGUAACUAGAGUACUUUAGGGAGGGGUAGAAUUCCACGUGUAGCGGUGAAAUGCGUAGAGAUGUGGAGGAAUACCGAAGGCGAAGGCAGCCCCCUGGGAAUGUACUGACGCUCAUGUGCGAAAGCGUGGGGAGCAAACAGGAUUAGAUACCCUGGUAGUCCACGCUGUAAACGCUGUCGAUUUGGGGGUUGGGGUUUAACUCUGGCGCCCGUAGCUAACGUGAUAAAUCGACCGCCUGGGGAGUACGGCCGCAAGGUUA